GUAGUUGAACCUUGGGCCUGGCUGACCGGUCCGCCUCACCGCGUGCACUGGUUCGGCCGGGCCUUUCCUUCUGGGGAGCCGCAUGCCCUUCACUGGGUGUGUCGGGGAACCAGGACUUUUACUUUGAAAAAAUUAGAGUGUUCAAAGCAGGCCUAUGCUCGAAUACAUUAGCAUGGAAUAAUAGAAUAGGACGUGUGGUUCUAUUUUGUUGGUUUCUAGGACCGCCGUAAUGAUUAAUAGGGAUAGUCGGGGGCAUCAGUAUUCAAUUGUCAGAGGUGAAAUUCUUGGAUUUAUUGAAGACUAACUACUGCGAAAGCAUUUGCCAAGGAUGUUUUCAUUAAUCAGUGAACGAAAGUUAGGGGAUCGAAGACGAUCAGAUACCGUCGUAGUCUUAACCAUAAACUAUGCCGACUAGGGAUCGGGCGAUGUUAUCUUUUUGACUCGCUCGGCACCUCAC
rnacentral:rRNA from 1 species